UACAGAGGUCCCAAGCGUUGUUCGGAUUCAUUGGGCGUAAAGGGUGCGUAGGCGGCGCGGUAAGUCGGGUGUGAAAUCUCGGAGCUUAACUCCGAAACUGCAUUCGAUACUGCCGUGCUUGAGGACUGGAGAGGAGACUGGAAUUUACGGUGUAGCGGUGAAAUGCGUAGAUAUCGUAAGGAAGACCAGUGGCGAAGGCGGGUCUCUGGACAGUUCCUGACGCUGAGCACGAAGGCCAGGGGAGCAAACGGG
rnacentral:rRNA from 1 species